UCAACCGAGAUUCCCCCAGUAGCGGCGAGCGAACGGGGAGGAGCCCAGAGCCUGAAUCAGUGUGUGUGUUAGUGGAAGCGUCUGGAAAGGCGCGCGAUACAGGGUGACAGCCCCGUACACAAAAAUGCACAUACUGUGAGCUCGAUGAGUAGGGCGGGACACGUGGUAUCCUGUCUGAAUAUGGGGGGACCAUCCUCCAAGGCUAAAUACUCCUGACUGACCGAUAGUGAACCAGUACCGUGAGGGAAAGGCGAAAAGAACCCCGGCGAGGGGAGUGAAAAAGAACCUGAAACCGUGUACGUACAAGCAGUGGGAGCCUCUUAAUGGGGUGACUGCGUACCUUUUGUAUAAUGGGUCAGCGACUUAUAUUCUGUAGCAAGGUUAACCGAAUAGGGGAGCCGAAGGGAAACCGAGUCUUAACUGGGCGUUAAGUUGCAGGGUAUAGA
rnacentral:rRNA from 1 species